rnacentral:rRNA from 1 species
UACGGAGGGUGCAAACGUUGCUCGGAAUCAUUGGGCGUAAAGCGCACGUAGGCGGUCCAGUAAGUCGGGUGUGAAAGCCCUCGGCUCAACCGAGGAAGUGCAUUCGAAACUACUGAACUUGAGUAUGGAAGAGGGUCGCGGAAUUCCCGGUGUAGAGGUGAAAUUCGUAGAUAUCGGGAGGAACACCAGUGGCGAAGGCGGCGACCUGGGCCAAUACUGACGCUGAGGUGCGAAAGCGUGGGGAUCAAACAGG